AGGAGAGAGUACUGUCGAAGACGCUGUACGUAAUUUUUCUCGGGUUCCGCGACCCGAGUACCGGAUUUUUUUCCAUUUAACAUUUUAACAUUUUUCCGGGAGGGGUCCUGAAAAAUAAUAUGUAUUUAUAAUGUAUCGCUAUAUUAAUAGACGCCUCUUUGUUGGACGACAUUUGAUUGAAAUUAUAUCAGUAUCUGGGAGAGGGGGGACCCGGACCUCCUGGAUCCCCCUCGUAAAUCCGCCACUGUCCACGGCGUAUUAUUUAUUAAUUUCCUAGUCUGUCUGACCGCGCGUGACGUGACGAUUGACUACACGGAUAUUACUUUUGCGCGCCCCCUCGGGCCGGCCGGUUUUGAAACCAUAUAAUAAUCGUAUAGCGGGACUCG